AAAGCGCGCGUAGGUGGUUUGUUAAGUUGGAUGUGAAAGCCCCGGGCUCAACCUGGGAACUGCAUCCAAAACUGGCAAGCUAGAGUAUGGUAGAGGGUGGUGGAAUUUCCUGUGUAGCGGUGAAAUGCGUAGAUAUAGGAAGGAACACCAGUGGCGAAGGCGACCACCUGGACUGAUACUGACACUGAGGUGCGAAAGCGUGGGGAGCAAACAGGAUUAGAUACCCGGGU
rnacentral:rRNA from 1 species